GUCCACGGCCACGCCACCCUGAACGCGCCUGAUCUCAUCUGAUCUCGGAAGCUAAGCAGGGUCGGGCCUGGUUAGUACUUGGAUGGGAGACCACCUAGGAAGACCGGGUGCUGUAGGUG
rnacentral:rRNA from 1 species